UACGUAGGGGGCAAGCGUUGUCCGGAUUCAUUGGGCGUAAAGAGCGUGUAGGCGGCCAGGUAGAUCGGUUGUGAAAACUGGAGGCUCAACCUUCAGAGGUCGACCGAAACCAUCUGGCUAGAGUCCGGGAGAGGAGAGUGGAAUUCCUGGUGUAGCGGUGAAAUGCGCAGAUAUCAGGAAGAACACCCGCGGCGAAAGCGGCUCUCUGGAACGGUACUGACGCUGAGACGCGAAAGCGUGGGGAGCGAACAGG
rnacentral:rRNA from 1 species